UUAUUGGAGUCAACACUUUAUCACACAUGGUGGUAAGAGGUUUAGUUAGGAGUUAAUGGAAUGUCAGGUGAUCACGCAUAUGUUCUUUAAUAUUCUUUUUUGAUGUUCUAGUAAGAGACUGAUAUUGUUGAGGAGAUUUUGCUAUUUGAAAACAAGGAUGUCUUGAUCCAAUGAUAUUUAUUUUUUCUACUCGAAUAUGAUUCUUCAUUAUUUGUUUUACAGUGAUGCAGCAGUUUUACUUAAGGUGGACUGUUCUAUAUGAAGCAAUUGUGUUUCUUUGGUGAACAUGAAAUGUUUUCUUGAAUCAAAGAGGAUGCCUCUAUGUCCAUAUUUCUUGACAGCUAGCAUUGGUCAUCCCUUGGAAUGGACUGAGAUAACUGGCAAUCAGGUAGAGAAUUCUUGGAGAAUCGAUGGUCAGAGAGCUCAAAAACUUUAUUUUUUUCCUCAUCAGAAAAACGCACAUGCCGUUGCAGGAUCAUGCACGCCUUGAAACCAUUGAGAAAUCAACAAUAGAUGAUGAAAUUUUGUAAAUUCUCAGUUUGUGGAAAGGUUUUAAACCAGGCUCUUGAUUUGCUUUCAAGUGUAAGAAUUUCUUAAAGGAAAUCUUUAUAGAGGUUGAAUUAUUUGCUAGUCAUCGUCUGGAUUUGUACUCACAGCUGACUCGUAUUGUCUGAAUAAUAAUCAUAGA